rnacentral:rRNA from 1 species
UACAGGGGGGGCAAGCGUUGUUCGGAAUUACUGGGCGUAAAGGGCCAGUAGGCGGCCGAUUAAGUCCGACGUGAAAUCCCCAGGCUUAACCUGGGAACUGCGUCGGAUACUGAUGGGCUUGAAUUCGGGAGAGGGAUGCAGAAUUCCACGUGUAGCAGUGAAAUGCGUAGAGAUGUGGAGGAAUACCGAUGGCGAAGGCAGCCUCCUGGGCCAACACGUGACGCUCAUGCACGAAAGCGUGGGGAGCAAACAGG